UUGAAGUGCUUUAACUUGGAGAAGUAAUUCCUUGCUUCAAGAACCAAUAUAAAUUGUUGUAUAGAUGGUAUGGGUAUUAAGACAGAAGAGUAAAGAAAAUGUUCACGUGAUAGUGUUAAUUAAUUAAGCUUAACAUUCUUGUUUAUGUUUAAGAACUGUGUUUUGUGUUUAGAAUAACAAAUGAAACUUCAUGUAAUUCAAUGUUGACGUUUGUGAGGUAGUCCUUUUUGUAAAGAUUUGAUUUUCAAAAUACUAAAAUGUGCUCUUUCAUAUAUUUAAAGGUAUUAAGUCAGAACUCCAGCUAUUUAAUUUGACUAUACUGAAACGAGACAUGGAUUGGUAUCCAGACAUUUCAUGCACUUUUUAAUUUCAUAAUGUUUAAACCGAAGGGAUAAUGCUGGUAUUAUCUUUGGUACGAGUAGCGAACGUCACUUGGUCGUCUGUGUCGCUAAUGAAACUAUUAAUUUCCUUAUUUUUCUAUGGAGUCUAUUUUUCUAUGAAGUGACAAAAACUGCUAACUGUACCGACAAAUUCACUGUUUUUUGAAUACUGAACAUAAACGAAUGGUUUCCGAGUAUUUAAAUAGGAAAUAGAGCAGACAUUUGUUAUAAAACAAAAAUAUUAAAUAUAUACUAAUUAUCAAAGUACUGCGUUACUUUCGUUCUAACAGAUUAUAUAUCAACUUUUUUAAAAAAAAGUAUUGAUUAAACAAUUGUAAAAUACUAGUUAUGAUUUGAGUUGUGAGUUCUUGAGUGGAUAAUUAUCAAUCGGUAGGAGUGUGUUCUAAGAUGAUCUGAAAAAUCAUAAAUAAUAAACUGACUAAUUAUAUAUUAUACUGAGACAAGAUUUUGAUGAUAUAGUGGAUUUUGAUGAUAUAUAUAAACCUAUUCAAGCUAUUAAUCUUAAGUGGUGGAAAUAUGCAGGUCCAUUGCAGAUACUUUCCGCUUAUACAUUGUUGCAAAACUGCAGUUUAUGAUAAGAAUAUUUUUUGUCCAUGUCCAUUGCACAUCUUUUACGAGUUACUACAAUGUUUCGCAAGUUUUCGAAGUGAUUUUAUCAUCACGAUGAUCAUAAAGGCUAAAAGCUUUUUUUAUUUAAUGAGUCAGUCAUUAAACACAAUACAGA